rnacentral:rRNA from 1 species
UACGGAGGAUGCGAGCGUUAUCCGGGUUUAUUGGGUUUAAAGGGUGCGUAGGCGGAAUAUCAAGUCAGCGGUAAAAAUUCGGGGCUCAACCCCGUCGUGCCGUUGAAACUGAUGUUCUUGAGUGGGCGAGAAGUAUGCGGAAUGCGUGGUGUAGCGGUGAAAUGCAUAGAUAUCACGCAGAACUCCGAUUGCGAAGGCAGCAUACCGGCGCCCAACUGACGCUGAAGCACGAAAGCGUGGGUAUCGAACAGG